UAUCAGUAUCCUGAGUAGGGCGGGACACGUGAAAUCCCGUUUGAAUCCGCGAGGACCAUCUCGCAAGGCUAAAUACUAACCAGUGACCGAUAGUGAACCAGUACCGUGAGGGAAAGGUGAAAAGAACCCCGGGAGGGGAGUGAAAGAGAACCUGAAACCGUGUGCCUACAAGUAGUCAGAGCCCGUUAACGGGUAAUGGCGUGCCUUUUGUAGAAUGAACCGGC
rnacentral:rRNA from 1 species